rnacentral:rRNA from 1 species
AUUGAACGCUGGCGGCAGGCCUAACACAUGCAAGUCGAACGAGUGGCGGACGGGUGAGUCAUGUCUGAGAAACUGCCUGAUGGAGGGGGAUAACUACUGGACACGGUAGCUAAUACCGCAUACCCUCAACUGUGCCCAUAUGGGAUUAGCUAGUUGGUGGGGUAACGGCGCACCAAGGCGACGAUCCCUAGCUGGUCUGAGAGCAUGACCAGCAACACUGUAACUGAGACACGGUCCAGACUACUACGGGAGGCAGCAGUGGGGAAUAUGGCACAAUGGGCGCAAGCCUGAUGUAGACAUGCCGCGUGUAUGAAGAAGGCCUUCGGGUUGUAAAGUACUUUCAGCGGGGAGGCGUUAUCCGCAGAAGAAGCACCGGCUAACUCCGUGCCAGCAGCCGCGGUAAUAC